GGAAGUAAAAGUCGUAACAAGGUUUCCGUAGGUGAACCUGCGGAAGGAUCAUUAUUGAAUGAACUUGGAGUCGGUUGUCGCUGGCUGUCUUAUUUGGCAGCAUGUGCACGCCUUCUCUUUUCAUCCACACACACCCCUGUGCACUUGUGAGACUGGAGACCGGUAAAAAAAAGUCUUCAGUCUGCUAAAUCCAUAUACAAACCCAUUUAAUUGAACUGAAUGUAAAUCGAUGUAACGCAUCUUUAAACUAAGUUUCAACAACGGAUCUCUUGGCUCUCGCAUCGAUGAAGAACGCAGCGAAAUGCGAUAAGUAAUGUGAAUUGCAGAAUUCAGUGAAUCAUCGAAUCUUUGAACGCACCUUGCGCUCCUUGGUAUUCCUUGGAGCAUGCCUGUUUGAGUAUCAUGAAAUUCUCAAAGUAAACCUUUUGUUAAUUCAACUGGUCUUUGCUUUGGAUUUGGAGGCCUUUGCAGAUGUCACAGUCUGCUCCUCUUAAAUAAAUUAGCUGGAUCUCAGUAUACACUUGGUUCCACUCGGCGUGAUAAGUAUCACUCGCUGAGGACACUGUUAAAAAGGUGGCCAGGCAAUGCAGAUGAACCACUUCUAAUAGUCCAUUGACUUGGACAAAUUAAAAAUUUAUGAUCUGAUCUCAAAUCAGGUAGGACUACCCGCUGAACUUAAGCAUAUCAAUAAGCGGAGGA
rnacentral:rRNA from 1 species